AUAAGGAUAUGAAAGCAUAUGCUGCUGGGUCCCAUAAAACAUGUCUUACAUAAGGCCAAAUUUCCAAUAUUGGGAGAUGUAGCAGAUCUACCUAAUACAUAGAAAUAAGCACAGAGAAGUAGGCAAAAU